rnacentral:rRNA from 1 species
UACGAAGGGGGCGAGCGUUGUUCGGAAUUACUGGGCGUAAAGGGCGCGCAGGCGGCUCUGAAAGUCAGAUGUGAAAGCCCCGGGCUUAACCUGGGAAUUGCAUUUGAUACUCUGGAGCUUGAGUACGGGAGAGGAGAGUGGAAUUCCCAGUGUGGAGGUGAAAUUCGUAGAUAUUGGGAAGAACACCGGUGGCGAAGGCGGCUCUCUGGACCGUAACUGACGCUGAGGCGCGAAAGCGUGGGGAGCAAACAGG